rnacentral:rRNA from 1 species
AGUCGAACGAUGAAGCCCUUCGGGGUGGAUUAGUGGCGAACGGGUGAGUAACACGUGGGCAAUCUGCCCUGCACUCUGGGACAAGCCCUGGAAACGGGGUCUAAUACCGGAUAUGACUGUCCACCGCAUGGUGGAUGGUGUAAAGCUCCGGCGGUGCAGGAUGAGCCCGCGGCCUAUCAGCUUGUUGGUGAGGUAGUGGCUCACCAAGACGACGACGGGUAGCCGGCCUGAGAGGGCGACCGGCCACACUGGGACUGAGACACGGCCCAGACUCCUACGGGAGGCAGCAGUGGGGAAUAUUGCACAAUGGGCGAAAGCCUGAUGCAGCGACGCCGCGUGAGGGAUGACGGCCUUCGGGUUGUAAACCUCUUUCAGCAGGGAAGAAGCGAAAGUGACGGUACCUGCAGAAGAAGCGCCGGCUAACUACGUGCCAGCAGCCGCGGUAAUACGUAGGGCGCAAGCGUUGUCCGGAAUUAUUGGGCGUAAAGAGCUCGUAGGCGGCUUGUCACGUCGGUUGUGAAAGCCCGGGGCUUAACCCCGGGUCUGCAGUCGAUACGGGCAGGCUAGAGUUCGGUAGGGGAGAUCGGAAUUCCUGGUGUAGCGGUGAAAUGCGCAGAUAUCAGGAGGAACACCGGUGGCGAAGGCGGAUCUCUGGGCCGAUACUGACGCUGAGGAGCGAAAGCGUGGGGAGCGAAC